rnacentral:rRNA from 1 species
UACGUAGGGGGCAAGCGUUGUCCGGAAUCAUUGGGCGUAAAGAGCGUGUAGGCGGCUUGGUAGGUCUUGCGUCAAAACCUGCGGCUCAACCGCAGUUCGCGUGGGAAACCACCUAGCUAGAGUCCGGAAGAGGAGAACGGAAGUUCCCAGUGUAGCGGUGAAAUGCGCAGAUAUUGGGAAGAACACCAGUGGCGAAGGCGGUUCUCUGGGACGGUACUGGACGCUGAGACGCGAAAGCGUGGGGAGCGAACAGG